AAACUUUCAACAACGGAUCUCUUGGCUCUGGCAUCGAUGAAGAACGCAGCGAAAUGCGAUACGUAAUGUGAAUUGCAGAAUCCAGUGAAUCAUCGAAUCUUUGAACGCACAUUGCGCCCGCCAGCAUUCUGGCGGGCAUGCCUGUUCGAGCGUCAUUUCA
rnacentral:rRNA from 1 species